CUGGCGGCGUGCCUAACACAUGCAAGACGAACGCGGUUAUCCCGCAAGGGGUAACUGAGUGGCGAACGGGUGAGUAACACGUGGGUGACCUACCUUCGAGUGGGGGAUAACGUCCCGAAAGGGACGCUAAUACCGCAUAACAUCCUGCCUUUGAACAGGCGGUGAUCAAAGCCGGGGACGCAAGGCCUGGCGCUUGAUGAG
rnacentral:rRNA from 1 species